rnacentral:rRNA from 1 species
AUUAAACGCUGGCGGCCGGCCUAACACAUGCAAGUCGAACGAGUGGCGGACGGGUGAGUAAUGUCUGGGCAACUGCCUGAUGGCGGGGGAUAACUACUGGAACCGGUAGCUAAUACCGCAUACCAUCAGAUGUGCCCAGAUGGGAUUAGCUAGUUGGUGGGGUAACGGCUCACCAAGGCGACGAUCCCUAGCUGGUCUGAGAGGAGGACAAGCCACACUGGAACUGAGACACGGUCCAGACGCCUACGGGAGGCAGCAGUGGGGAAUAUUGCACAAUGGGCGCAAGCCUGAUGCAGCCAUGCCGCGUGUAUGAAGAAGGCCUUAGGGUUGUAAAGUACUUUCAGCGGGGAGGCGUUACCCGCAGAAGAAGCACCGGCUAACUCCGUGCCAGCAGCCGCGGUAAUUC